rnacentral:rRNA from 1 species
AACGAACGCUGGCGGCGUGCUUAACACAUGCAAGUCGAACGAGAAAGGCGGGGCAACCCGCUGAGUAAAGUGGCGCACGGGUCAGUAACACGUGGGUAAUCUACCUUCGGGUGGGGCAUAACCUGUCGAAAGACGGACUAAUUCCCCAUAAGACCACGGGAUCCUCGGGUCCUGCGGUCAAAGGUCGCCUCUACUUGUAAGCGAUCGCCUGUAGAUGAGCCCGCGCACCAUUAGCUAGUUGGCGGGGUAACGGCCCACCAAGGCUCUGAUGGUUAGCUGGUCUGAGAGGACGACCAGCGACACUGGAACUGAGAUACGGUCCAGACUCCUACGGGAGGCUG